rnacentral:rRNA from 1 species
UACGUAGGUGGCAAGCGUUGUCCGGAAUUACUGGGUGUAAAGGGAGCGCAGGCGGGAAGCCAAGUCAGCUGUGAAAACUACGGGCUUAACUUGUAGACUGCAGUUGAAACUGGUUUUCUUGAGUGAAGUAGAGGUUGGCGGAAUUCCGAGUGUAGCGGUGAAAUGCGUAGAUAUUCGGAGGAACACCGGUGGCGAAGGCGGCUUACUGGACUGUAACUGACGUUGAGGCUCGAAAGCGUGGGGAGCAAACAGG